rnacentral:rRNA from 1 species
GUCUAUGGCCAUGCCAUCCUGAACAAGCCCAAUGUCUGAUCUCGGAAGUUAAGCAGAGUCAGGCCCGGUUAGUACUUGGAUGGGAGACCACCUAGGAAGACCAGGUGCUGUAGGCA